UCCUCUCUCUCACACAUCACCACCAAACGUCACCCCACCUCAUCUCAGCACAGUCCCUCACCACUGUCGCUCACCGUACGUCACACAUCGCCACCGCCACAGCCGCAAUCACCACUGUCACCGCCGUAGACCACAGCUUCAAUGCUGCAAUUGUGGUCACUCUUCUGACACCUAUGAGCCCUUGAUUGGCCUGAGUUUGGAGAUUGAGAAUGUGGGUACUCUUCCUAGUGCAUUGGAAUCUUUCACCAAGGUGGAAAAGAUUGAAGAUCCAGAGACAAAGUUCACUUGUGAACAAUGUAAAGAAAAAGUGUCAGUAGAAAAGCAGCUUAUAUUGAACUAGGCUCCUUCUGUUGAUGCGUUCCACUUGAAAAGAUUCAAGAAUGAUGGCUCCUAUGUUGAGAAGAUUGACAAGCACGUGGAGUUCCCACUAGAGCUAGACUUGCUGCCAUACACUGGUGGCGAUCAGAAUAAUGAUGUCGAAUUGAAGUACAAUCUGUAUGCAGUUGUUGUGCAUAUCGGAUUCUCAUCCACUUCAGGUCAUUACUAUUGCUUCAUUCGUUCUGCCCCAGAUGCAUGGUACAGGUUGAAUGACUCAAAGGUAAUACUUGC